UACGUAGGGGGCUAGCGUUGUCCGGAAUCAUUGGGCGUAAAGAGCGUGUAGGCGGCCCGGUAAGUCCGCUGUGAAAGUCGGGGGCUCAACCCUCGAAUGCCGGUGGAUACUGUCGGGCUAGAGUGCGGAAGAGGCGAGUGGAAUUCCUGGUGUAGCGGUGAAAUGCGCAGAUAUCUGGAGGAACACCGGUGGCGAAGGCGGCAUCCUGGACCAACACUGACGCUGAGUGAGCGAAAGCCAGGGGAGCAAAC
rnacentral:rRNA from 1 species